rnacentral:lncRNA from 1 species
AUGGAGGCAGUCAGCGCCCCCCACUCCCACCGCCUCACUCCAUCCCUGAGCAGAGGUGGGAGGGGGGAGCACAGGUACCCCAAGUUCAACCCCGGUAGCCAGGCCAGCCCUGUCCCUCGGGUUAAGUCUACUCUUCCAGAAGCCAGGGAGCCGCCGGCCACUGAAGGGGAGCCCGUGCGCCCUUCACCCGCGGGGGCCCCCUUUGGCCCACCCGCCUGGGACCCAACAGGAGCCCCCGCGAGUCCGAGAACCGGACAGCCCAGGCCUCGCCCCUCCGCGUGGGGAGCUCACUUCCCGGGGCGGAUCCGGGAGCGCCCGGCCCCCUGCGCCUUCGCACCCAAGGGCACCACGUGCUUCGCGCAUCCUCUGGCUGCCAGGCGGGACCGCGGGGCUCGGCAGGUGCCAGCACCUGGGGCUGCGGACCUGCCGGCGCCCCCCGCAGGUGACUCUCCGGGGCGUGGGGGCAUCUCUGCGGGAGCUCCCGUUGCCAUGGUUACCGCCUGGGAGGUGCGCAGCCGCCGCGCGGGGAGCUGGGGCGCGGGCACCGCGGACACCCCACCCCGUACGCGCAUCACUUCCCAUCCCAGCCACAGCCACACGCGUACACCCCUAAACCCACUCGGGGCGGACACCCGGAGAUGCGCUGUCGGAUCGCCCCCCAGCUCGAGUCCGCGCACGCGCAGCAGGCUGUGGCUCCCUCCCCUUGGUGACCCUCUCCGCAGACCCACCUCGUGGGGUCGCUUCAGAGAAGGGGUGGCCUCCUGGGCACGCACCCCUCGACCGGAAGGUCACCCCGCUGCCCCCGGGCACCCCCCGCCGUCAACCCCACCGGGAGCGCCCAGACACCUGCAUCCGCAGGGGACCCCGCGCAGGGGCUCUGUGGACAAAGUGGCUUGGAGGCCACUGACCUAAUUCCACUUCCUUUUUGGACCCAAGAAUCGGAGAGCGUGUUGGUGACAAGCAAACCACCAAGGAGUACAGAGAGGACACUUGCCUGGAAAUGCAAGUCCAAACCACCACAAGACGCCACUUCACACCCAAAGGAGGGCUCUCAUAAUACAGUAAGAGAAAGAAAAGGGACAGGGGCCUCUGCAGACGUGAGUGGUCCCACGCACAGCCAGCGGGCCUGGAGAAGGCGCAGUCACUUGGACAGCAGGCCGGUGCUUCCUCAGCAGGGGACAUAUGCAGGUGCCUGUGACCCAGCGAUUCCACGGCUGGUGCGCACCCCGAGAAUGCAUGUCCAUAGCAGCAUUCUUGACAAUUGCCAAAAGGUGGAAACAGUCCAAAUAUACAUGCAUCAACAGAAGCAGGGGUCACCAAAAUGCGGUGCACCCCAUGGUGGGACAUGAUGCAACUUGGAAAAGAGGGAAACACACCCCCCCACGCUGCGUGGCUGGGCCUCAAAACGUGCUGAAUAAGAGAAAGCAGCCACAAAAGGCCACACAUCAUAGGAUUCCUUUUUAUGGGGCAUGUCGAGAGUAGACAAAUCCUGGGGGGCAGGAAGCAUUGGAUGGUUGUGGGGCUGGGGGGGGAGNNNNNNNNNNNNNNNNNNNNNNNNNNNNNGGGGUUCAAUGGCUGCCCAGUGAGUAUAGGCUCCCUCAUGCAGAGAUGAAAAUGUUCAGAGCGGGAGAGUAGUGACGCUUGUACAACAUCGUGAAUUCAGUACUAAAUGCUACUGAAUUAUAUGCUGGAAAGACUUAAAAUGGUAAAUUUUAUGUUAUGUGUAUUUUAGCACAAUUUUUGAAAAAACAGAUUCCGGGAUCCCACCAAAAAACAAAACAAAAAGCAAGGAGGCUGCAUAGCGGUUGUGUUUCAGGCCAGGAAGCCUCACCAGCAACUCAGUCUGCUUAGCUGGCUUCCCCAGAGCUGCCCUGCUCCUCCGUCGGCUAAUAAACAUGCUAAUGAGGGACCCA